ensembl:snoRNA
GCGGUCUGAAAAUCACUUGAGGUCUCCUGUGGCCCCCGGUGAGAUAACUGUGCCGACAGCAUAGGGAACAUUAAGCUUAUUGCCCACGGUAACGUGUGUGGGGAGUGAAACCCAUGUUCCCAUAACC